UCCGUAGGCGGGUAAUUAAGUCAGAGGUGAAAUCCCACAGCUUAACUGUGGAACUGCCUUAGAUACUGGUUAUCUUGAGUUUUAGUGAAGUAGAUAGAAUGUGUAGUGUAGCGGUGAAAUGCAUAGAUAUUACACAGAAUACCGAUUGCGAAGGCAGUCUACUAACUAACAACUGACGCUAAUGGACGAAAGCGUGGGGAGCGAACAGGAUUAGAUACCUGGUAGUCC
rnacentral:rRNA from 1 species